CGCGCCGUGGGACGGGCCCGUCGUGGUAUUAGGUAGUUGGCGGGGUAACGGCCCACCAAGCCUGCGAUGCCUACCGGGCGUGCGAGCGUGGCCCGGCACACUGGGACUGAGACACUGCCCAGACUCCUACGGGAGGCUGCAGUCGAGAAUCUUCGGCAAUGGGCGCAAGCCUGACCGAGCGACGCCGCGUGGAGGACGAAGGCCUUCGGGUUGUAAACUCCUGUCGAGGGGGAAGAAGGCCCCGCAAGGGGCUUGACUGAUCCCUGGAGGAAGCACGGGCUAAGUUCGUGCCAGCAGCCGCGGUAAGACGAACCGUGCGAACGUUAUUCGGAAUCACUGGGCUUAAAGUGCGUGUAGGCGGGACGGCACGUCUGUCGCUGAAAUCCCCCGGCUCAACCGGGGAACGGGCGCAGAUACGACCGCCCUGGAGGGGCGUAGGGGGACCUGGAACUUCCGGUGGAGCGGUGAAAUGCGUUGAGAUCGGAAGGAACGCCCGUGGCGAAAGCGAGGUCCUGGACGCCUACUGACGCUGAGACGCGAAAGCCAGGGGAGCGAACGGGAUUAGAUACCCCGGUAGUCCUGGCCGUAAACGAUGGGCACUGGGUAGGGGGCUCGCCGAUGGGCUCCCUGCCGUAGGGAAACCGUGAAGUGCCCCGCCUGGGGAGUAUGGUCGCAAGGCUGAAACUCAAAGG
rnacentral:rRNA from 1 species